AGCGAACGCUGGCGGCAGGCUUAACACAUGCAAGUCGAGCGGGCAUCUUCGGAUGUCAGCGGCAGACGGGUGAGUAACACGUGGGAACGUACCCUUCGGUUCGGAACAACUCUGGGAAACUGGAGCUAAUACCGGAUACGCCCUUAUGGGGAAAGGUUUACUGCCGAAGGAUCGGCCCGCGUCUGAUUAGCUAGUUGGUGGGGUAACGGCCUACCAAGGCGACGAUCAGUAGCUGGUCUGAGAGGAUGAUCAGCCACACUGGGACUGAGACACGGCCCAGACUCCUACGGGAGGCAGCAGUGGGGAGUAUUGGACAAUGGGCGCAAGCCUGAUCCAGCCAUGCCGCGUGAGUGAUGAAGGCCUUAGGGUUGUAAAGCUCUUUUGUCCGGGACGAUAAUGACGGUACCGGAAGAAUAAGCCCCGGCUAACUUCGUG
rnacentral:rRNA from 1 species